UGAAUAACUCCCACUCCGACAUCGCUCUCGGCGCUGAGAUGUUGAAUAACUUGAAGAGCAGUCAAAGAAUGAGUUACUCUCACUUAAACACUGUCAAUUGAGUGCACAGCCAUAACCAUGAUGGACAAAUGGAAGAUCAGCAGUCACAAAUUGAGUAAUUUUCCGGGCUUCCUUCCAGUGCACUCAUAGUUAUCCUGAUCUCAAGUCAGUCACCCUUGCUGUCUCCUUAAGGAAACCUAACAAGGGAUAGAUUUUAUCUGAUAAGAUGAUGAAUAAAACUACAAACACAAUGAAAGGGAUUACAGAACGUUAAUCCACUAAUGGCCACGAUCUUACUCGUCCAUAUCAUUUAUACGCGUGACUUGAAAAAAAAAAAUGAAAAAAAAUAUAGUCACGGCCAAUAUUCAAGUAAUAGAUCGUCGUUGUGUUUAGCAUUUAUCUUUAUUCUUAAGGUUUCUGAUCUGUUUAUCGAGUACCAUUUUACAAAAUCAGACUGAUUAAGAUUGAGGCAAAACGUUAAACGGAAAAGAGGUGAGUGUUAGUUGUCAUUAUACUGCUACUCAUGUCUACAACGAGCUUCACUACCUUCAGGACAGAGCCUCGGAUGUCGGAGAUCUUGUCUAUGAAGGGCGAGACUGGGGAGGAGAAGCGACCGUUCUUCCAGAGUGACUGACCAAGUGUUACAAAAAAGCAGAAAACAAGUACACUGAAUGUCCCAGACCUCAAGGAGUAUUGCCAAAAGGAAAACCUACAUUAAAGAACUUUUUUUAAUUCUUCGUGAAGAAGCUCAAGCAAUAGGCAAGUACAGGAAAAUUCUUAAACAGCGGCAAUACCCGCUACUUUUAAACGAUGAAAGCAGUGUGGCGGAGAUCGAUGCUCUCUCACAGUACAGUGUUACACCUCACCUGCACGAGACCCACCAAGUGUUCUGUCUUCCUUCCCUUGUGAGUGAGCGUGAGGGCGUCCAGCUCGUCUCUUGUGAGUCCAACCAACACGUACCUGCGGCACAAGAGGCACUGGUCAUCCAUCAUCCAGCAAGGGGAUUUCAAGCUAGUAUGGCGCGUGGGGAGCACACCUGUAUCAGAGUAAAAGGGAACCCAAUAGAAGCCAAUUAUAUAAUGUAUGCAUUACGUUGCACUGUUUACCGAUAUAUUCAAGGCAGUGGCUAAAGAAGUAAUGUAGUUUUUGGCAUUACAAUUAUAACACCUAUUACACCACAAUCUGAUGUGCCACCUGCUGGUCUGUGCAAUCCAAUAAGUUUUUGAAACCAAGAGCUGACCUGCCACCGUAGUCCCAGAGAGCGGACGCAGAGUCACCGAAGGACAGCAAGGCCUGGGGCUGGUGCAACAAGAAGAUAUAGGCCCGACACCCUCGUGCCCGCCACACCACCCGCCUGCCCGCCACCUCCCACCCGCCACUAACGUCCACCACCUGCCAUACCUUCUUGUUAACUUAAAAGGAGUGCUGCUGAGGGCUUGCAGUGUGUGAGAGGUGAGGUAGUCGGAGUCAGCCGCCACCACCAGCGAGCACUGAGACAGCUCCCACGCCACGAGGGUUUGGAGGGCGGCCCGCAGCGACGCCCCCCACUGGUCGAGGCCUGAGUCCAGCUGGAUGAGUGGAACGCGGAUGGUGUGUAUGGAAGGUACCGCCAGCCUUGGAGCACUGGCGACAGAGAUUGAGGCGGGUGGAGUGUGGAUGAUCAUUGUGGCACUCGCUACCGCCCAUUGGAGUGACCACAGCCUCGCCAGCCGCCACGCUUGUGUCAUUUCUGUGGGUCACUUCUGUAAUAGAAGAUAAUUAAGUAACUGUCGUCAUUUAAGCUGAGGUUAUUACCAAAAUUUAUUCACCUGGCAGUAAUUCAUGUCAUUACUCAAGUGUGGCACUACCUCACACUGGACGUCGCUAUGACUGAGAGUGACAUUAUACAAACUGACGGAGGGGAGGAGCUCGUCAGGAAUCCUGCAGACGAUUGGCUGUCCAGGAACGCUGCAUUUUUCAGCAAGUGUGAGUCAUAUGACAUGAACAGCUUCAUAUAACAAAAAAUGGAAAAUAAAACAAACAAACAUGUAUUUGUGCUGCAUUUUGCCUUAAUGUGGUGAUAUAGUUAUAUGUACAAUAAUUAUGUAAGUGCAUGCGUAUAAGACUCAAAUAUACUCGUACAUCCAGUACUGUUAUAUAGCGAAGUACUGCACAGUGUCGCCUUUACACAGAAUGAAAAUUCAAGAAUGAUAUUCAGAAUUGUCAAAGAUAUAACGCACAAGAGAUGCAGUGACUAAAACCUUCCAUCAAAACUGAAAUCACAUUUUCUUUGGGCUCUGAAUACAAAAGUAAGACCCAACAUUAUACAAACAUCUUUUUGAGAUAACUUUGUCUCUCAUAAGUUGGC